GCUGAUAUUUAAGUAGCAUGACACACGAAGAGUUGGCACAAGCUGGAACCUGAAAUUGGUACUGGAUCUUGGAGGAGAUCUGCUCCAUGUGCUGGUGUGUGGAUUGAAGUUAGCCACGAGGUGGCACUCGAGUGAAUGCAUUCAGGCUAACUUAACAAAUGCUGCGGACUACCUGAACGAAGCUUGUGGACCAUUGUUUGGGAACCCUUGAUCUAUGUAAUCUAGUGUCCUGUUUCCUGCAGUGACCAGACAGAAGCCUCCAGGAAGCCCACAAGCAAGGCUAAGGGAAAGCAAGCAUGUUGGACAACUCCAUGGAAGUUUGGACUAAAACCCGGAAUGGAUUUCACUGCCCCACUGGCAUGCAGCCACCAGCCACCACUGCUGUCAGGGGGUGCAUAAAGGCAUUGGGCUGGGUCAAAGUCAAAAACAGGUGCUGCCAAAGCAAAAGGAUGAGCAAGGAAAUGUCCUGUUCCCUGUGGAAGACCGAAUUUACCUUGGGUAGGAAAGCAGGAUCUGGCCGGAGUACCACUUUAUCAAGGUGGAACAUGCAAAUCUCCUCUCGGGAUGAAAGCGCUCCAAUUUCUCCCACCCUCCUUGCCGACAUCAUUGCCACCAGAAACACCUUCUUAAGGAUGUUUACGCCUGCGCCACCAGUUGAAGGCAUUCCUCGUGUUCUCAUAUAUUUUCUGUGUGGAGACCCUGCACAAGGCCAAUAUGGUGAUGAUAACCCUAUCAGAGAGACCUUCUCCUUCUAGUGAGCGCCGUUCAAUCUCCACGUGUGAAGCUGUAGCCAUUAUGGAUCUGGGUGGACCAGAAGGACCCUUCAUGGAUGCUGCAGAUAUAUGGACCCUGCUGGGACCUGGCUCCCAAAAAGGUAAGAGGUCUAAGACCACCGGAGACCCUGGAUGACUAUACCCCUGGCUGCGACAAUGGACUGGAUGAGAACUAACAAACUGAGACUCAAUCCUGACAAGACUGAGAUGCUGCUGGUGGAUGGUUUCUCUGAUCAGAUGGUGGAUAUAUACCCUGUCCUGGA